CACUUACAGGGAUGAGGCACCCACAACUGUCCCAGGAAGGCAGCUCCAAUGCCCCCUGUUCUCUUUGCUGGGUGGAAGACUGACAAGGAGCAUCCCACCCAGAGGUACGCCUGUCCCUGCCUCCUGACACGUUCAACGUUGCCUUGUUCCAAGGACCAUGAGGUCCAGCACUCAGUACCCCGAUAUUCUCAAGAGCUGAAACACUGUGCUGGUUACUCUGCCUGCAUAUUCCUGCUGUACAAAGAAUUUUGACCAAUUUUUGAAGGAACCUGAGGCCACUCUUUAAACCACUAAACCUGAAUCAGCAGUCACUAAUCACUUUUCACUUUUCUCACACCGUAAAACCACCUGCCUAAUCGUACAGUACGAAGAACGAAGCCAAGAACACAAAAUUCUCUGGAAACACCAAACAAAAAUAAAUCAAGCUUUGCACUGACUUGCGUAGAGCAGAAGCAUAGAUGAGAGGGAGCAGGAAGUAACAAGUAAGAAACCGCAACUGUAAUGAGGAAAACAAGACACCAAACAACCAAAACACAGGGCUGAUCUCCAGGUAUUAGUGACAAAGCACUGCCAGCCACCCAGAGGAGGAGGUCUGGAGACCUUCACACCGGCAGAGCUAGAGGAAGAGAAGUCUACAGAGCCAAUUCUUGGAAGACCAACUUGACAAGUAUCGUAUUCUUUUGUGUUACUCCUGGCUCCUGAAAUGGCUUUUCAUGCAGCUGUUGGAAGGAACUGGCCGCUUUAUUUGGAAACAGAGAUUCAACUCAAGAACAAACCAGAUUAACUCAAGAUCCAAGCACAGUCCAGCAGUUUAAGGAGGAUUUUUGAAGGAUACACCUACCAAUACUACAGAGAUCCUCAGGAAUCCUGAAGAGACUGGGAAAACACAUAACAUGCCAAAAGCACUUGUUUAAACCUGAUACUUUUUCAUAAGCACUGGGGUGGGAGGGCACGAUCAACAAGAAGGCAGAGAACACCUAGGAUGUCUGAAGCUUACACAUUUAGGACACACAAGCCAGAAACUGAAUGCAAGUCUUCUAAUUUUAUAUAUGAUCUGAAUUUCAGAAACUGAUUUCACUUGUUCAUCUAGAGAAGCAUAAGAGAAAAACUAAUUAUAUACAAAUACAAAUUAGAGAACUUUCUGCUAGUAAUAAAACAGGUCAUCUAAUAUACAUUUCUUCCAUUUCAAAGCAUCCACAGUCUGAUGAAGAUGAAUAUUACAAUGUUACCCUCUCCAAUUUGUUCUUCUACUGAAUGUACAAUUUUCUACUUGGCCAAACAUUUAAAUAUGAUUAUGAAACAAGACUACACACCACUGAAUCUCAAUUGAGGAACAUGGAGCUCAUUUAUUAGAAGUUAGCCACGUCAAAGAAAUAAAAGCAGAUAAGUGGAGUUUUACUGCUUACAAGUAUUGAAACAAGAUGGAUUUUCAAUAUAUUUUCGCCCCCAUGUUAAGGCAGAGUAUCAGGAAACGAGAAAAAUCAGCCAAACACAUUAUUUUCUUUAGUAACUUUUAGUUAAAUUACCGACUGCAGUCAUUCAUGAGGAACAACCAAUGUGUUUGAAUACAGUUUUAGAAGUCCUUAUGCCCCAAUAAGAUGUACAUUUUGAAAUGGUUAAGUAAUGCAAUGCUACCUGAUUCCUUCUCUUCAAAUCUCUGUAUCCAUUUUCAAGCAAAACUUUUUUUUAAACUAGCAGUUGUACAGUUCAGUGGCCUUUCCAUCUUUAAUAAAAGCAUGUGCUCAUUAGCGGGUAUUCCUGUGAGCUUACUGUCCUUCUAAACUACCAUACAUCAGUAUACAAAUAUCCAUUUAUCAGAUGACUGAAACAAUAAGGGCACUGAUGCUUAUUAUCAAGCAAACAAUCAUUAACUGAAAAAGUUAAUUAAAAUAGGAAAGAAAACAUUCUUGAUACCUGUAUCCUUGUUUCAUGAUGGAUUGUCUGGUUAUCCUAGGCAUAAUGCUAAAUACAAAAGUACCAGUAUGGGUAUUUUGUUGAUGAGUGCCAAAAGUUAAAUAAUCAUGAAAAAAAAAAGAAAGAAAUAAGCUUCAGUGCUUGAUAGCAUCACUGGAGAUCUCGAAGAGCCGAAAAUGCUUUUUCACCACUAAUAUUUAGGAAAAUAAAGUAUUUCUUCCUAUCCUACACUAGUGCUGAGAAGAGUCCUCUCUGGUUUUGCACCCGCAACAAAACUUCAACACACAGCAG